GACGAACGCUGGCGGCGUGCUUAACACAUGCAAGUCGAACGGAAAGGCCUGCUUUCCCUUGUGGAUUGCGGGUACUCGAGUGGCGAACGGGUGAGUAACACGUGAGUGAUCUGCCCCCAACUUGGGUAUAAGCCUGGGAAACUGGGUCUAAUUCCCGAUAGGACUGCAGGGUGGUGCCUGUGGUGGAAAACGAUUUUCUAGUGGUUGGGGAUGAGCUCGCGGCCUAUCAGCUUGUUGGUGGGGUAAUGGCCUACCAAGGCGGCGACGGGUAGCCGGCCUGGGAGGGUGGACGGCCACAUUGGGACUGAGAUACGGCCCAGACUCCGACGGGAGGCAGCAGUGGGGAAUAUUGCACAAUGGGCGGAAGCCUGAUGCAGCGACGCCGCGUGGGGGAUGACGGCCUUCGGGUGGUAAACUCCUUUCGACCGCGAGGAAGCCACCUGGUUGGAAGGGUGGUGACGGUAGUGGUAGAAGAAGCACCGGCUAACUACGUG
rnacentral:rRNA from 1 species